UACGUAGGGGGCAAGCGUUGUCCGGAUUUAUUGGGCGUAAAGAGCGUGUAGGCGGCCAUGUAGGUCCGUUGUGAAAACUCGAGGCUCAACCUCGAGACGCCGAUGGAAACCAUGUGGCUAGAGUCCGGAAGAGGAGAGUGGAAUUCCUGGUGUAGCGGUGAAAUGCGCAGAUAUCGGGAGGAACACCAGUGGCGAAGGCAGCUCGCUGGGACGGUACUGACGCUGAGACGCGAAAGCGUGGGGAGCAAACAGG
rnacentral:rRNA from 1 species